rnacentral:rRNA from 1 species
UGGGGAAUAUUGGACAAUGGGCGCAAGCCUGAUCCAGCCAUGCCGCGUGAGUGAUGAAGGCCUUCGGGUUGUAAAGCUCUUUUGUCCGGGAAGAUAAUGACUGUACCGGAAGAAUAAGCCCCGGCAAACUUCGUGCCAGCAGCCGCGGUAAUACGAAGGGGGCUAGCGUUGUUCGGAUUUACUGGGCGUAAAGCGCACGUAGGCGGCUCGUUAAGUCAGAGGUGAAAGCCUGGAGCUCAACUCCAGAACUGCCUUUGAUACUGGCAAGCUCGAGUAUGGCAGAGGUUGGUGGAACUCCGAGUGUAGAGGUGAAAUUCGUAGAUAUUCGGAAGAACACCAGUGGCGAAGGCGGCCAACUGGGCCAUUACUGACGCUGAGGUGCGAAAGCGUGGGGAGCAAACA